rnacentral:rRNA from 1 species
CAGCCGUAAACUAUGCGCGUUAGGUGUAUCGGUGACCACGAGUCACCGAGGUGCCGAAGGGAAACCGUGAAACGUGCCGCCUGGGAAGUACGGUCGCAAGGCUGAAACUUAAAGGGAAUUGGCGGGGGAGCACCACAACGGGUGGAGCCUGCGGUUUAAAUUGGACUCAAACGCCGGGAAGCUCACCGGAUAAAGACAGCGGAAUGAUUGCCGGGCUNAAGACUCUGCAUGACUAGCUGAGAGGAGGUGCAU